rnacentral:lncRNA from 1 species
UGAACAUAACUGAUCCACUUGAUGAAGGUUUGGGUCAUUCUUUUUGCUAUAUUCGACCCGACCCGUAUUCAAAACCCAACCUGUUUUCCGAUGAAGGUCAUUCUUUCUGCUAUAUUCGACCCGACCCGUAUUCAAAACCCAACCUGUUUUCCGAUGAUUCGUCUUCCUCUUCUACUACCACCACUAUUUCCAGCGCCAGCAGCUGUCCUCCGGCGGCGUUCCGUACAAUCUCCGGCGCCUCCAUCUCUGCUAACACCUCCACGCCUUUGUCAACAGCCAUCG